GGGGCUGUAGCUCAACUGGGAGAGCGCUUGCAUGGCAUGCAAGAGGCUGGCGGUUCAAUUCCGCUUAGCUCCA
rnacentral:tRNA from 2 species